rnacentral:rRNA from 1 species
UACGGAGGGUGCAAGCGUUGUCCGGAUUUAUUGGGUUUAAAGGGUGCGUAGGCGGCUUGUUAAGUCCGGGGUGAAAGCCCACAGCUCAACUGUGGAACUGCCCUGGAUACUGGCGAGCUUGAGUCCAGACGAGGUUGGCGGAAUGGAAGCUGUAGCGGUGAAAUGCAUAGAUAGCUUCCAGAACCCCGAUUGCGUAGGCAGCUGACUAGGCUGGUACUGACACUGAGGCACGAAAGCGUGGGGAGCGAACAGG